AUUGAACGCUGGCGGCAGGCCUAACACAUGCAAGUCGAGCGAGCGGAGGACGGGUGAGUAAUGUAUGGGGACUGCCCGAUAGAGGGGGAGAACUACAGGAAACGGUGGCUAAUACAGCAUACUGUCGGAUAACCAAUAUGGGAUUGGCUAGUAGGGAAGGUAAUGGCGUACCUAGGCGCCGAUCCCUAGCUGGUCUGAGAGGAUGAUCAGCCACACUGGGACUGAGACACGGUCCAGACUCCUACGGAGGCAGAAGUGGGGAAUAUUGCACAAUGGGCGAAAGCCUGAUGCAGCCAUGCCGCGUGUAUGAAGAAGGCCCUAGGGUUGUAAAGUACUUUCAGUCGGGAGGCGUUACCGACAGAAGAAGCACCGGCUAACUCCGUGCCAGCAGCCGCGGUAAUAC
rnacentral:rRNA from 1 species